rnacentral:rRNA from 1 species
AGAGUUUGAUCAUGGCUCAGAACGAACGCUGGCGGCAUGCCUAACACAUGCAAGUCGAACGAAGGCUUCGGCCUUAGUGGCGCACGGGUGCGUAACGCGUGGGAAUCUGCCCUUGGGUUCGGAAUAACAGUUAGAAAUGACUGCUAAUACCGGAUGAUGACGAAAGUCCAAAGAUUUAUCGCCCAGGGAUGAGCCCGCGUAGGAUUAGCUAGUUGGUGAGGUAAAGGCUCACCAAGGCUACGAUCCUUAGCUGGUCUGAGAGGAUGAUCAGCCACACUGGGACUGAGACACGGCCCAGACUCCUACGGGAGGCAGCAGUGGGGAAUAUUGGACAAUGGGGGCAACCCUGAUCCAGCAAUGCCGCGUGAGCGAUGAAGGCCUUAGGGUUGUAAAGCUCUUUUACCCGGGAUGAUAAUGACAGUACCGGGAGAAUAAGCCCCGGCUAACUCCGUGCCAGCAGCCGCGGUAAUACGGAGGGGGCUAGCGUUGUUCGGAAUUACUGGGCGUAAAGCGCACGUAGGCGGCGAUUUAAGUCAGAGGUGAAAGCCUGGAGCUCAACUCCAGAACUGCCUUUGAGACUGGAUUGCUUGAAUCACGGAGAGGUGGGUGGAAUUCCGAGUGUAGAGGUGAAAUUCGUAGAUAUUCGGAAGAACACCAGUGGCGAAGGCGGCCCACUGGACKUGUAUUGACGCUGAGGUGC